UACGAAGGGGGCUAGCGUUGUUCGGAAUUACUGGGCGUAAAGCGCACGUAGGCGGAUCGUUAAGUCGGGGGUGAAAUCCUGGAGCUCAACUCCAGAACUGCCUUCGAUACUGGCGAUCUUGAGUCCGGAAGAGGUGAGUGGAACUCCUAGUGUAGAGGUGGAAUUCGUAGAUAUUAGGAAGAACACCAGUGGCGAAAGGCGGCUCACUGGUCCGGUACUGACGCUGAGGUGCGAAAGCGUGGGGAGCAAACAGG
rnacentral:rRNA from 1 species